rnacentral:rRNA from 1 species
CAGGUAUUAAACUGAAGAGUUUGAUCCUGGCUCAGAUUGAACGCUGGCGGCAUGCCUUACACAUGCAAGUCGAACGGCAGCACGGGA